rnacentral:rRNA from 1 species
GACGAACGCUGGCGGCGUGCUUAACACAUGCAAGUCGAGCGGUAAGGCCCUUUCGGGGGUACGACGAGCGGCGAACGGGUGAGUAACACGUGGGUGACCUGCCCUCAGCUCUGGGAUAAGCCUGGGAAACCGGGUCUAAUACUGGAUAUGACUCCAUGACGCAUGUUGUGGGGUGGAAAGCCUUGUGCGGCUGAGGAUGGGCCCGCGGCCUAUCAGCUUGUUGGUGGGGUGAGGGCCUACCAAGGCGACGACGGGUAGCCGGCCUGAGAGGGCGACCGGCCACACUGGGACUGAGACACGGCCCAGACUCCUACGGGAGGCAGCAGUGGGGAAUCUUGCGCAAUGGGCGAAAGCCUGACGCAGCGACGCCGCGUGAGGGAUGACGGCCUCGGUU